AUUGAACGCUGGCGGCAUGCCUUACACAUGCAAGUCGAACGGCAGCACGGGUGCUUGCACCUGGUGGCGAGUGGCGAACGGGUGAGUAAUACAUCGGAACGUACCUUAUCGUGGGGGAUAACGCAGCGAAAGCUGUGCUAAUACCGCAUACGCCCUGAGGGGGAAAGCGGGGGAUCGAAAGACCUCGCGCGACUAGAGCGGCCGAUGCCUGAUUAGCUUGUUGGUGGGGUAAAAGCCCACCAAGGCGACGAUCAGUAGCUGGUCUGAGAGGACGAUCAGCCGCACUGGGACUGAGACACGGCCCAGACUCCUACGGGAGGCAGCAGUGGGGAAUUUUGGACAAUGGGUGCAACCCUGAUCCAGCAAUGCCGCGUGAGUGAAGAAGGCCUUCGGGUUGUAAAGCUCUUUUGUCAGGGAAGAAGCACCGGCUCUAACACAGUCCGGGGAUGACGGUACCUGAAGAAUAAGCACCGGCUAACUACGUGCCAGCCGCCGCCGUAA
rnacentral:rRNA from 1 species